rnacentral:rRNA from 1 species
GAUGAACGCUAGCGGCAGGCCUAAUACAUGCAAGUCGAACGGAUAUAUGUUUUUCGGAAUAUAUAUUAGUGGCGCACGGGUGAGUAACACGUACAUAACUUGCCCUCAAGCGGGGGAUAGCCUUGGGAAACUGAGAGUAAUACCCCAUAGAAUUAUUGGACGGCAUCGUUUGAUAAUUAAAACUACGGUGUUUGGGGAUAGAUGUGCGUCUGAUUAGCUAGUUGGUGAGGUAACUGCUCACCAAGGCGACGAUCAGUAGGGGGCGUGAGAGCGUGGCCCCCCCACACGGGUACUGAGACACGGACCCGACUCCUACGGGAGGCAGCAGUAAGGAAUAUUGGUCAAUGGAGGGAACUCUGAACCAGCCAUGCCGCGUGAAGGAUGACGGCCCUCUGGGUUGUAAACUUACUUUUGGAUGGGGCGAAAAAACGGAAGUUUAUCCUGGACUGACGGUACCAUCAGAAUAAGCACCGGCUAACUCCGUG